rnacentral:misc_RNA from 1 species
UUUCCGUAGGUGAACCUGCGGAAGGAUCAUUCAUAAUAAAGUGUUUUAUGGCACUUUUUAAAAAUCCAUAUCCACCUUGUGUGCAAUGUUAGAUCUCGUCAAUCUUGGCGAGAUUUUUAUACAUCAACUCACUCUUUAACUAAUUUGUCUGAAAAAUAUUAUGAAUACUUAAUUCAAAAUACAACUUUCAACAACGGAUCUCUUGGCUCUCGCAUCGAUGAAGGACGCAGC